UUUAGAGAUGUUGAUAAUGUGCUGUAUGACUGGACUGACACUCCAUCUUCAGACUAUUGUGUUUGGAGAGGAAUCGGUUGUGAUAAUGCCACCUUCAAUGUGGUUUCACUAAAUCUUUCAGGCUUGAAUCUUGAUGGGGAAAUUUCACCUGCUAUAGGGCAGCUAAAGAGUCUGGUUUCUAUUGACUUGAGGGC